UACAGAGGUGGCAAGCGUUGUUCGGAAUUACUGGGCGUAAAGGGCGCGUAGGCGGUUCGUUAAGUCCUGUGUGAAAUCCCCCGGCUCAACUGGGGAACUGCACAGGAAACUAGCGGGCUUGAGUUCGGGAGAGGGAAGCGGAAUUCCGGGUGUAGCGGUGAAAUGCGUAGAUAUGACAUAGAACACCAAUUGCGAAGGCAGCUGGCUACACGAAUAUUGACACUGAGGCACGAAAGCGUGGGGAUCAAACAGG
rnacentral:rRNA from 1 species